rnacentral:rRNA from 1 species
AUUGAACGCUGGCGGCAUGCCUUACACAUGCAAGUCGAACGGUAACGGGCCUUCGGGUGCCGACGAGUGGCGCACGGGUGAGUAAUACAUCGGAACGUGCCCGAUCGUGGGGGAUAACGAGGCGAAAGCUUUGCUAAUACCGCAUACGAUCUACGGAUGAAAGCAGGGGACCGCAAGGCCUUGCGCGGACGGAGCGGCCGAUGGCAGAUUAGGUAGUUGGUGGGAUAAAAGCUUACCAAGCCGACGAUCUGUAGCUGGUCUGAGAGGAUGAUCAGCCACACUGGGACUGAGACACGGCCCAGACUCCUACGGGAGGCAGCAGUGGGGAAUUUCGGACAAUGGGCGCAAGCCUGAUCCAGCCAUGCCGCGUGCAGGAUGAAGGCCUUCGGGUUGUAAACUGCUUUUGUACGGAACGAAAAGCCUUCUUUUAAUACAGGAGGGUCAUGACGGUACCGUAAGAAUAAGCACCGGCUAACUACGUG